CGCGGGGUAGAGCAGUCCGGUAGCUCGUUGGGCUCAUAACCCAAAGGUCACAGGUUCAAAUCCUGUCCCCGCUA
rnacentral:tRNA from 1 species